ensembl:snRNA U7 U7 small nuclear RNA
CAAUGUUACAGCUUUUAGAAUUUGUCUCACAGGCUUUCCGGUCUUUGUAGGAAAGCCCAU